rnacentral:lncRNA from 1 species
UUCAACAAAAAAGAAUUAUGACAAUAUACUUAAUUUCACUAAAGAACUGAACCACAUAUAUUAAUUUAUAAAAUACAAAAAUCACAUACUCAAAAUUAAAAUACAAAAGCAAUCAAACCACCUUUUUUUUUUUUCCUUUGUUUCUUCCCCUUUUUUCCCUUAUUCAUUGACAUAAAAGUUCUAUACCCUAAAAAGACAAAUAGAAAUAAAGGAUCGGACAGCAUAUGAGAAUAAGCCAGGCCAGGCCUGAUGGAAAUGAAAGAAAAGUAGUAGGGAAUAUGGGAGUACGCCAAAAGGGAAAAAGAAAAAAGAGAGUAAAAGAUCCCAAACAAACAACACCUCAAAUUCCUUAAUGUCUGAAACAGCAACAGGAGGCAGCUCUACUAUACUACUGCCUUCCCUCUUUCUUUUGAAGUUUGAAUAUUAGGCUGCAGCGCAUGCCCUAUCAAGCUGACACAAAAGAGAAGAAAAAUAAAAAUUAAAACACUGCUUCUCUCUGUUUUCUUUCUUCUUCUUUUUCUUUUUUUUUUUCUUUUCUUUCUCUUUGCAGGCUCACCUUUUCACGGUCCAAACAUGGAUUCUCUUUGCCNNNUGUCUCUGUUGUACUGAUUUAUAUUAUACCUUAUCUUUUGUUUUAUUUUGCAUGGGAAUAAUAAUAUAAAUGGAAUCUGGGGCAUUACUUUUUAGUAUUAUUAGUUAAUCUAAUGAGCAAAUGAAUUAUAUGGUAGUAGUAUCCCAUUCCCACUCUAAGUGUCAUAAUUGCAGCUGAGGUGGUGGUGGGGAUGAUGGGCUGCUUUCUAAACUUUUCUUACGCACCUUUUUUGUUUUUCUUUCUUUUCUGGUAGGGUUGAAGGAAUGUCUCUUUGCUUGAGCUUGUAAUUUUCCCU